rnacentral:SRP_RNA from 1 species
GCCGGGUCCUCCGCGCGGUGGCACCCUCCCCCAACUCCCCCAGGGUCGGAAGACAGCAAGGGUAAGGGAGCUCUACCAGGUGCGCGGAGGACUCUUCGCC